AUAGCGUAUAUUAAAGUUGUUGCAGUUAAAAAGCUCGUAGUCGAACUUCGGCCUCUGCCGCCCGGUCCGCCUAUUUGGGUGUGUACUGGAGCGGUGGAGGCUUACCUCGUGGUGAGCGGCGAUGUCCUUUACUGGGCGUCGUCGGGAACCAUGACUUUUACUUUGAAAAAAUUAGAGUGUUCAAAGCAGGCUUACGCCCGAAUACAUUAGCAUGGAAUAAUAAAAUAGGACGUGCGGUCCUAUUUUGUUGGUUUCUAGGAUCGCCGUAAUGAUUAAUAGGGAUAGUUGGGGGCAUUCGUAUUCAAUUGCUAGAGGUGAAAUUCUUGGAUUUAUUGAAGACGAACUACUG
rnacentral:rRNA from 1 species